CAGUAGCCGCGGGAAUACGAAGGGUGCAAGCGUUAAUCGGAAUUACUGGGCGUAAAGCGUGCGUAGGCGGUGAGUUAAGUCUGCUGUGAAAUCCCCGGGCUCAACCUGGGAAUGGCAAUGGAUACUGGCAAGCUAGAGUGUGUCAGAGGAUGGUGGAAUUCCCGGUGUAGCAGUGAAAUGCGUAGAGAUCGGAAGGAACAUCUGUGGCGAAGGCGACUAUCUGGGCCAACACUGACACUGAGGCACGAAAGCGUGGGGAGCAAACAGGAUUAGAUACCCCCGUAGUCCCUGUCUCUUAUAC
rnacentral:rRNA from 1 species